rnacentral:lncRNA from 1 species
AGCAUGUAUCAUCAAUCUAGAAGGAUCCAUGUAUCUAUUGAGCAUAGUAUUCCUACAAUCCUUAACCACCAACCUAGACACAUAAGUCACAAACUUACACAUACUUGACCUAUGUCCAACCAUCUACACACAUGAAUAUUUAGACAACUGGUUGAACUUGAGGCAAUACUCUUUCACUGUCAUAGAGCCCUGCCUCAGGUUCAUGAACUCUUCUAUCUUAGCCGCCC